CCAUAGAGAUGAUUUGUCACACGCGUACCUGGGGACAUCUCCAACUGAUUCCUCUGGCCAGGACCUCUUGAGCAGUAGGUUUAAGAUACCUCAAAUUGGGCUGGGAGGUGAACCACAGCUGGAAUGAAACCAGGAUACAAGGAGGCAGAGCAGCAGUGUGAUGCGUGCCUGAAUGCAGUUAAGAAACCAAGUUGCCUGUGCUUGUGAAGGGCACCUCAUCCACAGAGGAGUCAGCCACAAUUUGACUUCAUAAAUUCCUGGCCAAAAUCAGCUUUUAGGUGCUCACAGACAAUUCCCAUCAACUUCGGUGGCUGGCUGGUGAACACACAGAGAAUAGCACCAUUUGUCCAUAACAGAAUUCAGUCCUGUAUUUAUCCAUCCUCCACUGAAACUGUCAUCUUUGAAAAAUACAGUACAAGAUGACAUUAGAUAAGUGUCCAUCUAUUCCUCACUAUCACAAGCCUGCAAUCAUGUCCAUCUCCCUUUCAUUUCCCAGAACAGCUGGUGCUUUUCUCAGCCAAACCAGAAUCUCCUGAGCCUGGCAAAUAGACACUGGCUUCACUGCAAAGCUACUCCACUGGGAGAAUGUCACAGCUCUAACCAAUAUGAAAGUUACUCAUAAAAUGAGAUAAAAAAGAACAGUAGAGCCCUAAGCAUUUUCAAUAGAUGUGGUAGCUCCAGUCAGUUUAUAUACUGCUUUGUCAAUACAGAAAAUCACUCAGGCUAAUUAUUUAAAUAUUUCCAUUUAUGGAGUUUAGAUGGAAAAGCCAACAGUGGAAUACCCAAGAUGAUGAUAUUUUAAUAAACAAUAGAUUUAAGGGGGAUUAGCUGUGUUAUCAAACAGUAUCCUCCCAAAUCAGCUCAUCAGUUUCACCAACUCUCCCUGUGUCACUUUAUUAAAACAACUUAAAUGAAGGUUCAUUAAUUGCAAUGUAAUAUCAUUCA